rnacentral:rRNA from 1 species
CCCAAAGAAACACGUUAAGAGCCGAACCCUUGUGCUCUCCAAACGCGUACCAGUUCAUCGUCAGCAUCCACCAGCCAUAAAUAAUCUGGUAGCACAGCAGCACCAGCACAGGCGAUGGCGGAGUUCUCGUGGCUCACGGCGCUAGGGUUCGCCUUCCUGACCUUCAACUCCGGCAUGGCCGUGUACCGCUCCAACGGCGACGCGGGGUCCGUCGUCUUCGUCGCCGUCUCCUACCUCGACCUCGUCGCCCUCUUCGCCUGCCUGCGCCUCUACGAGCGCCUCGACCGCCACUCCCCGCGCCGGGAGCGGCUCAAGGCCGCCGUCUGGGCGCUCACCACGCUGCUCACCGUCAUGUUCACCUACAAGGUCGCCGAGGUCAUGCCGCUCGCCGUCAAGCUCCUCGUCUGGGCGAUGGCCGCCGCCACCACCUGCGGCGGCUUCUACGUCUUCUUCGUGCACGACGACAAGCCGUACCAGCAGCUGCAGGACGCGUCGGCGGCCGCCGAGCGCGGGGACGUCGCCAACUAGUGGCUAUAUUAGACGGCGGCUGGGCGCUGGCCGCCGCGAGGUACGUGCUUCGGUGCUAACAGCGGCGUCGGGCGUUAGAUCUAGGGCCAAACCACUAGGUUGUUAUUGUGUCUUGGCUGUUUCGUUUCCCUUUUUUUGCCGAUUUGCUGUCACUUGGUCUGCUUUGGCUUGCCGGCGUGCUCGGAUUAGCAGAUCUGGAAUUUGGCCAUCGGCAGAGGAGAUCUGUUCAGUUUGAUGACGUGCUUGUUGAUCAAAUUAAUAAUUGUGUGCUCUGUUGAGAAGUGAGUUUGUGUUAAUUAUGAUUCCCGAUUGGGCCAUCAAAUUGGGCGUGUGCCCGCCACGCGGCCCACAAGGAGGAAGAAACUGCGACAGCUUGAGGUAAGUUGAGUGGAUUGCAAUUGUGUAAGGGCUCUAUUUGCAUCAGGAGGAGGGUAGGGGAACGGAUGCUGAGGGAGUAGACAAGAAACCAGAGAAAUCCUUAGUGUGCAAAAGUGGAUGAUCCCUUGGUACAGAGGUGGUGUAGAAACUGCAAAUAGUUUCCUUGAAUUUGUGUGAAAAUAGUGAAUUGUCGUGACUAGCCAAAGUUGAGAUGAUAUGAAGACAGACGAACUGCAGGACAACAUAUGAGCGAAACAAGCAGAGGCAUAAGUGAAGAUUGCAGAUACAAUGGAAAUUCAUCUGCACAAUAAGACAACAAGCUAGAAAUGUUGUACUUGUUAAGUUGUCUCAUCUGAUGCACCCAUCAGUGGUUUGCAGUAUGCUGACGGGAACUAUAGAUUGAACAUAUGGCAACUGGAAAUUUGAUAAACAAAUGGAAAAAUAUUCAACUGUAUUUGAGGUAUGAGACCAAGAGUCGAAAUCAUUUAACCAUUGGUGGCCUCAUCAGCUUGCAAUUGUUUCUGCACUCUCUUAAAGAUUUCAGCUGAUUUAUGUCCCUGCUUGUAAAGAGCGGCUGGGUUACUGUUAACCACCUGGAUGAAGAUCUUUUCAUGGAUCAUUCAAGAAACUUGGCGAAGUGCAGAGAUCCUUCAUACCUUCCUCUUGUCAAGAAAAUACAACUAAGACAAUAAAUGGACAAUUGUUCAACUGAAUUUGAGAUAUUGAGAUCAGGGGUCAAAAUCAUUCAACCAUUGGUGGCCUCAUCAGUGUGCAAUUGUUUUUGUACUCUCUUAAAGAUUUCAGCUGAUUUAUGUCCCUGCUUGUGAAGAGCAGCUGGUUUACUCUGAACUUGAUGCAAAAGUAUGGAUGCUGGGAAUCAUGAAGGAGAUUGGAGAGCCAGAACUUGAUGCAAAAGUAUUGGAUGCUGGGAAUCAUGGAUUCAAGAAAAUUUGCAAAGUGCAGAGAUCCUUCAUAUACCUUCAACAGAAUAUGACUAGACAAGGUUGCGUGCAGAGACUGGAGAGCCAGAAUAAUAAUGAGUAGGGAAGUUGUUCAAGUCAGAAGAACAAUGUGGAGAGAACUAGUUCAUGUUUGCUGUUUCGGUUUACCAGCAUACAGAUGAACUGUUCGUAAUGAAAAUAUAACCACAGACUAAGACAGCUCAUUGAUAACUAUGUGUAGUGGGAGCUAGGAAAUGGCCAUUGGAAUAUAUUAUCAGCAGUAAUGGAUGACACGUACAAGGGAAUAAAUACAAGGAAAUUACAAAGCUGCGGAUGUUCAAAGAGAAUGAAAUAUACUACAGCUAUGACGAUGCUGAUGCCAAUGCCAAUUCCGAUGCUAAUUCUUUGUCACAUUAUCCGGCAAGCCGACAGCAAGGUGAGUUUCAAGGGAAGAGAAAAGGCCAAGAUAUACUAACCCCUAGUUGCCCAAAAUCUAAUUUGCCGUCGCUGUUGCCUGACGUAUGUGCUGCGCUGUAGCAAGUUCCCAGCCUGCCCUAUUACGCGUUUAAGUUGAAUAAAUUCCACUAUCUGCGAGCUAUAAGUUAUAACGUUUCUAUGAACUGUAUUAUGUCUAUCUAUGAUUAUAUUGUAUGUCGUUCAUGUCGGUCGAGCUCUGACUAGUUCUCGGAAGCGUUCUUGAUGGUCAGGUUAUGUAUUGCACACUACUGGUGCCAACUCUACUAUCAUUUGCUCCUCGUUGUAAUGCUCAUGGUCUGUAUUCAGUACGUUCUUCUGUAUAAUGCUUGCUUCUUUGCAGUCCUAGUAAUAAUGCAUUAUCCUGGAAAUGCUUGCUAUCC